AUCAUGGUCUCAUUGUCUCCUUCGCAGGGCGAUUGAUAACCAAGUGUACGUGGCCACGGCGUCUCCUGCCAGAGAUGAAACCUCCUCAUACGUGGCCUGGGGUCACAGCACUGUUGUAAACCCAUGGGGAGAAGUUAUCUCCAAGGCUGGACCAGAGGAGGCUGUCAUUUAUGCUGACAUCGACCUGCAGUAUUUAGCCGACAUCCGGCAGCAGAUCCCGAUCACGGCGCAGCGCCGGGACGACAUCUACGCAGUGACGUCUGUGCAGGGAGCUGAACGCCGUGACGUUUAAGAAAGAAGGUGCCAAGGUACCGACACAAACUAUGCAACAGAUCUCUGCCACCAACACCACGUCUUCUUCUCCCUCUGAAGCACCGGGCCUCUUUGUCUGAAUUGAGGAAAGAAGAGAUGCAGUUGGCAUGGCGAUGCUCACCUCUUAAGGAUGGAACUGUGCUUUGUUUUGUGUGUCUGGUGCUGAAAUGAGUGGUUGAGCAAUAGAAUGCUCAACCACUCAUUGAUGAAUUGAAUUGAUGACAGUUUUGGUAAGCAGUUAAUUGUUUGUAUCAAUUACCAAGUCAAACUAAGUAUUUGCUGGUUAGAGCUUCUCUAAUGUGACAGUCGACAUCUUUUAAUCCAUUUCAUUUUAUUGGGAGUAGAACCUUUGGGGUUUCUUUCUUUGGCUCGUGAAAUGAAUUGAAUCGAUCGUGGCACCAGAGAUUUUAAAUCUAAAAGAAAUGUUCACAUAUUUUCUGUGAGG